UGCCAGAUACAAGGUAGUGGGUUAGGUCAAAUGAAUAAUCUCCCGUUAGUCAUUUUAACGAUUUUGACUUAUAAAUAGAUGCAUAACACCUUAACGACUGCACUUUAGAGACGCGACUUACAGGCAGCGGACGUAAGCAUAAUCCGAGUCUGAAACAUAUUACAUUCCUGACUUGAUCUUGCUUAUAAGCAGAUAAAAGAAAAUGGUUGUCAAGGUGCAUGUCGUCUAUUGCGGAGCCUGAGGUUACAGGUCCAAGUAUGAAGCGUUUCGAGAGGAACUGCUUGAUACCUUCAAACCUGGACAGAUUGAAGUAACAGGGGAAGGCACUCCUACAGCCACUAGCUGGUUUGAAGUGACUGUCAAUGGCAAGCUAAUUCAUUCCAAAAAG